UGUUUUUGUUUUGUUUGUUUGUUUUCUUUUGGCAGAUUUGUCCACAUCUCUGCCCUGCUUCAAAUCUUUCAGAAGCUCCCCAUCACCCACAGGGAUGAUCUUUCUGAAAUGGAUUUGGCCAUGCCAGUCUCCUGCCUGAAACAGUCCUCCUGACUCCUUGUCACUCAAAGGAAAAGGCAAACUCCUCAAGACUGCACAUAACACCCACCUUCCCAACCAUCCUCACCUACUACCACUCUCUCCUACACCCUACCUUCCAAACCCUACUUGAGGUUCACCCUCACAUGCUGGAGUUUUCCCAUCUCUGGGACUUCGUUCAGGCAGUUCCUCCUGGCUUCGGAGCCUUCUUUGUUCCUAAAGUUCAUACUUUAAGACCUAGCUGAAAUAUCAAGGCUUCCUGGACUCUGCAGGUGACACGAGCCACUGUCUCCUGGAUGCUUCAGAACCUGUGUAGAUCUCUCUCUUCACUCCUACUAUGGCAUCUCCUAGCAUGUUCUACACUGAGCUCCACUGGGCCUUGCAUGUCAGUAUCCCGAAUUCUGAAUGAAGCUUGGAACAUGGGAGGUGCAUCCACUAACAACAUGAAGAAUGAAGAUAUGUAUGAGUAAAUGAACAGUUCUCUUCUCACAGCAGAGUCAUCUCCUCUGCAGGCUUGCCUGACUCAGAUGUCUCUUUGCCAUUUUUGGAGGCACGGAAGAGAGACAUGCUCCUGAGUGUGAUGGCCUAUGACCGGUUUGUAGCCAUCUGUCACCCUCUAUAUCAUUCAGCCAUCAUGAGCCCGUGUUUCUGUGGCUUCCUAGUUUUGUUGUCUUUUUCUUCUUCUCAGUCUUUUAGACUCCCAGCUGCACCACUUGAUUGCCUUGCUAAUGACCUACUUCAAGGAUGUGGAAAUUCCGAAUUUCUUCUGUGAUCCUUCUCAACUCCCCCAUCUUGCAUGUUGUGAUGCCUUCACCAAUAACAUCAUCAUGUAUUUCCCUGC